UAUGGCCUUGCAUAAUAGUUCUGGUCAGCCCUGUGCCUCAGUUUCUCCUGGAUAACACCUACCUCCCAAGGCGGCUGUGAGGAUUAAAUGUGUUAACCUGUGUCAAGGACAUAAAGAAGCACCUGGGACACAGCUAUGAUCCACUCCUGGAGCAUCCUGUCCCUGGACAAACCUCUCUCUAGGAUGGCCGAGAGUUGGAGCAUCCCUACCCUUCCAGCCCACUGAAUUCACAUAAAGGAACUCCAUAGGCUCAGUUAUACAGCUCCUGCUUUGCUGAGACGAAUGUACAGAAAGCCAGCUGCUGUCCCCUUGUGAGAGGAAGAAUACUGCUAGAGCGGUAGUGAUCAUGGUGGGGGCGAUGGAGGGACAGUAAGGAGGUCAUCAGAAGCUCCCAGGUAGAAGAUCUGUUCUCAGAAAGCUAUAUGACUAAUGCUGAUGAAAAUGACACAGACAGACAGAAAGGUCCACUGUGUUCUUGGGAUGGAAGAAUGAACAUCGGUAAAAUGACCAUACUACCCAAGGCAAUCUACAGAUACAAGAUAAAUGUGGAACCCAGCCCUCCUCAAGACUGUUGCAGGGUCAUGGUGCGCCCUCUGGUGGCCAGUCUUUCAAUGGCCUCACCCACCCUGUUGAGCAAACUUAAGGCUCUCUCUCCUGGACUCAGAUGUGACCUUACCCACUGACCCCCAGGGAACCUAAAGGCUGACUCUGGCUCCGAGAAUUUUCAGCUUACCUUUUCCUGGGAGUCUUCAUCUA